UCGACAUUUGCAAGCAGGAAAUUAGAUAUCGAGCAUAUACACAAACACGCGAUAUUAGCAAAAAUCCGAAGCUAGUGUUUUAUUAAACACGCGUUACUAUAUUACAAAUUUAGAAUUCCCAACACUGAGGGAUCUCCUUGUAUAUCCACCAAAUCUUCUAUUCCUACUUCUUUAUACCUAUCUGCCAACACCCCAUAGAAAUUGGGAAAGAAAGGGAAAUAAAAGAAAAAGGAUAUGAAAUGUGUGGGGCUGUGCAAAAUCUGCAACAGCCUCCAACUCCCUCCAAUCCCCUUUUCCCUACACCCUACCACCUAUUCCUUAGCACACUUAUUCCCCCAAUCCCCUUCACUCUACCUCUUGUAUCUAUUCUCUAGCACACUCAAAUGUGCAGGCAACAUUCCUCAUUUUGGCCUCAAACUUCAUCCAGCAAAUCACUUUCAUUAUCUUCCAUUCCACACAUAGAAUCCACCGAAGGGUAAGCUGCAUUCACUGUUCUGCCAAAACUCAAGGGGUAAGCUUCGCUUUAACUCUUUUCCUUUCAGUCAUUAGUUUCACCUGCAUUAACACAAAGAGCAACAACCUUGAAUAUUUCAGAUUCUCCCAAUCCAUUUAAUCCAACAACACCAGACAGCCAACAAAGCAAACACUCAAGGUAUUAUUCCUAUUUCAUACUCAAUUUAGCCGCACUCAUAACCGGUACAUGGUCAGUUAAGAAACACCAUAAAUAGGAGAAUAAGCAUGAUAGACAAACAAUACCAAUGUAUAGUAUGAGGAUGUACAUAAGUCAGUUUACUUCCAUCAAGAACCAACAACAGCCUAUGACCUUUAUACGAGCUAAAUGCAGUAAGGAUUUCCUUGAUACAACAGCAAGUUCAGUGCUUAGUGCAAUUUAUUGCAUAAUCCUUAUAUGAAAACCAAGACUUCACUGUAGAACUAUAGAUUGACUUAGCUUUUAGAGAGGGCGGGGGCUACUGCCCUGUUUGUUUGGGCCGAAGGACGUGAGUGGGCGGCAACUCGCGGGGACAGCAGCGUCGGCGGCGUCGAGCUGUGAAAGGCAGACAACUCCCGACCUCGGCGAUGGCCCUCGCCGAUUCUGGAUUGCAGCAGCAGCGGAGUACCCUUCGCCCGAAUCCAGCAGCAGCGUGGCGAGGCUCGAACCGUCGACCCCGGGGAAAACGGCAACGGCGGAGCUUUCCCUACUCGCUGGAGAAACGCAACGGCUGCGGCGAGAUUGAGAGUGCGCCGAGAAUAACUAGGGCUCGACCUCUGCCUCGGCUGUGUGUGUGCGUGUUUCCGGAGCUUCCAGAGGAGAAUUAGGGCUCAAAUUUUAGUGGCCUCCCCUAAAUCUGCGAGACAGCAGCAGAAGCUUGUGCCGGCGACGCGAAGGCGCCGGAUCUCAAGGGGUGGCGGCGGCGAUUUUGGAUUUUGGGAAAUUAGGGCUCCUCAUUUGGGGAUCCCCCAUUAAAUUGAGGAAGGAGGGAGGACGAACGAAGACGGCGGCCUCAGAGACGCAGACGACGGCCGUUCGCCGGACACCCAGUUGCAGCGGCGACGACGACCUUCAAUUUGUGAGUUAGGGCUCGAUUAAGACCUUCAAUUCGUGAGUUAGGGCUGACGAUAUGAAUUGAGGAAGAAACGAGACGAAGGGAGGAGGCUCGGCUGGCCGUCGUCCUCGCCGGAGCAGUUCGCGGCGGAGCUCGCGAAGAGAAAGGACGGGCGAGAGAGAGAGAGAGAGGUCUUGAGCGGCGUCUGAAUUUGAAGAGAGUGAGAGAGAACCGAUUGUAGAGGGGGAGGAUUUGGGCCUCCUCAUUUAUUUUAUUUGGGCCGAAUUCCUUUAAUUAUUGGGCCUCUACAUCUUAUUUAAUUUAGCCCAGAUUAAUUUUCAUUUUAUAUCUUGGGCUGGUUAUUUUAUUGUGGGCUGGAGUUUCUAUUUUUUUUAUGAGCCUUAUAUGAUUUAUUUAAUUGAGCCCAACGAGUUAUUUAUUUGUUUGGGCUCUUCCUAAAUAUUGGAGUCGGGCCUUGUAUUAUUUUUCUAUCGGGCCGCUUCUUAUUAAUUAAUGGAGCCCAAUUAUUUAUUCGAUUGGACUACUUAACUAACUAAACCUGGAUAGUCAAUUCAAUCACUUGGGCCAUUAUAUAUUUUUCCUUUGGGCCUUCCCCUUGUUUUUGUAAUUGGGCUAAGUUUAAAUUAUUUUACUUUAGGCCCAACAUUAAUUAUUUCAGUUGGACUGCUAUUAUCUUAUUUGGACCCAGAUUUAUUUAAUUAUUUGAGCCCAAUAAUCUCAUCUCAGUUGGGCCUUGUAAUAAUUAUUCAGCCCAAAUUUUAUUAUUUUACUUGGGCUCCAGAUUUAUAUAUAUAUAUAUAUGAAUUGUAAUUAUUUAUUUUAAUUCAAACCCACUCUUAAUUAAUUAUUAGGCUGUAUUAUGUUGAGCCUUUUAAUUAUUUGACUUAUAUUAUUAUUACUUCGAUUCAUGUUUGUUUAGCCGAGUUAAUUAGACGCAGCUGCCCAAUUACGAUUAAUUCUUACGAGAUUGCUAAGCGAAUGAGCCGACUUAGCUAUUUUCUUUUAAUCGAUUAAAUAGAGCGAGAUUUUUUUUACCAUGUAAGUUAGAACACCCUAAGACGAACGGGUUAGUCAUAAUUAUUUAUCCGAUCGUACGAGACGAGCUUCAGUUAGUUAUCUUGCUUAAUCAAUCCGAUAGUUGGGAAUUAAUAAUAGAAUUAUCAAGAAUAAUAAAUCAUGCAUAAGAGAGUCAUGCAUAUUUAAUUUCGUAUUCUCAUUAUUUGAGAAUUCUGCUCGAGCAAAUAUCUUAUUUAAAUUCUCGCAAUAAAGGUCAAGCGCGAGAGUAAUACCUAGACGAGAGCUACUGCACCACAACUAGAGCUAUAAUCAGGUGGGCUUAUUUUUUAAAUGUAUGCUUGAGUUACUAAGCUCUAAAUUUUCAUGAAUUGAAAACUGUUUAUCCAAUAAAUAUUUUUGUGCGCUCUGUUAUGUUUAAGGCUCGCAAUUCAUGGAUCGAUCGAGGUUCUCUUAUGACCUAACACGUUGUUUGAGAAUUGUGUACACUUGUUAGUUGUUUCGGUGGGUUGAUCUCCAUCGGACACUAAUUCAUGUCAGAGGCGUUAUAAGGGGCUUGGCUGGAUGUGUUCCGAGCAUGUACAUGUAAGGCCUGCCUGGGUAGCGUCCCGAGGUCAAUUCAACUUGUUGAGUUACGUCCUCAGGGCAAGUAUCUGGGAAUGAGGGAUCCGUCGGUGGCUAAAAGGUCCGGAUCACACGAGUAACAGAACAGAGUGUGACAACAGCGCGCUAAUAAAAUAAAUGUUUAACAUGCUUAGAAGUUCUUUCUUUAAAACCUUCUAAGUUAUGUCAUGAAUGAUUGGAUAAACUGCUCUUAUGAAUUGUGAAAUUUUUAAAAAGUUGCAGCCCACUAAGUACAUUAGUACUUAGCCCAAUAUUUUCAAAUGUUUUUCAGGUUCAUUGGCUGGUGCUGACGGGGAGAGCUGAGGCUAGGGUUCAACUCCGUAUUUUGACUUCCGCUGUAGUACUAGCCUUUAACUGUCUUUCGUUUUCUUGACUUAAGACCUUUAUGUUAUGACUCUAAACGAUAUCUUUUGUUGAGCCUAGACUUUUGACUCUCAAGUAUUUUGAUUAAGAAAUGUCGGUUAUCUGAAGCAUGAAACUAAACUUAUGUGAUCCUGAAUUCGAAUAUUGUCAUUUGAUUGGCAACUCUUAAGCCCUUUCAAUUUACCUCCUUUCAUUUUAUCUCUUUGGAAUAUGAAUACCCAAUUUAAUGGGUAGAUUGUCAAGUUUAUUCUGGUUGAUUAAGACUUUCC
rnacentral:lncRNA from 1 species